rnacentral:rRNA from 1 species
GACAGAGGUGCCGAGCGUUAGGCGGAAUCACUGGGCUUAAAGCGUGUGUAGGCGGAUCUGUAAGUACCUUGUGAAAUCCCACGGCUCAACCGUGGAACUGCUUGGUAUACUGCGGGUCUUGAGCCACCUAGGGGCAAGUGGAACAAACGGUGGAGCGGUGAAAUGCGUAGAUAUCGUUUGGAACGCCAAUGGUGAAAACAACUUGCUGGGGGUGUGCUGACGCUGAGACACGAAAGCCAGGGGAGCGAACGGG